UCCCUCUUAGGAUUGCACCUGGAGAGUUUCCAGUACUCUAUCAGUCUCAGCUAUGGGAGGGAGAGUCAAGCAGAGACAAACCCAUUCCAUUCUUAGCUUGGGCAGUGGCUAGCAAGUGGAAGGCAAUCUGCUACAAAU
rfam:Ornithorhynchus anatinus chromosome X5, whole genome shotgun sequence.